ACACAUGCAAGUCGGGGGGCAGCAUCAUCAAAGCUUGCUUUGAUGGAUGGCGACCGGCGCACGGGUGAGUAACACGUAUCCAACCUGCCGACAACACUGGGAUAGCCUUUCGAAAGAAAGAUUAAUACCGGAUGGUAUAGUUUUCCCGCAUGGGGUGACUAUUAAAGAAUUUCGGUUGUCGAUGGGGAUGCGUUCCAUUAGGCAGUUGGCGGGGUAACGGCCCACCAAACCAACGAUGGAUAGGGGUUCUGAGAGGAAGGUCCCCCACAUUGGAACUGAGACACGGUCCAAACUCCUACGGGAGGCAGCAGUGAGGAAUAUUGGUCAAUGGACGAGAGUCUGAACCAGCCAAGUAGCGUGAAGGAUGACUGCCCUAUGGGUUGUAAACUUCUUUUAUACGGGAAUAAAGUGAGCCACGUGUGGCUUUUUGUAUGUACCGUAUGAAUAAGGAUCGGCUAACUCCGUGCCAGCAGCCGCGGUAAUACGGAGGAUCCGAGCGUUAUCCGGAUUUAUUGGGUUUAAAGGGAGCGUAGGCGGGUUGUUAAGUCAGUUGUGAAAGUUUGCGGCUCAACCGUAAAAUUGCAGUUGAUACUGGCGACCUUGAGUGCAACAGAGGUAGGCGGAAUUCGUGGUGUAGCGGUGAAAUGCUUA
rnacentral:rRNA from 1 species